rnacentral:rRNA from 1 species
GAUGAACGCUGGCGGCGUGCAUAACACAUUCAAGUCGAACGAACGUAGAAAUACGUUAGUGGCGGACGGGUGAGUAACGCGUGAGCAAUCUGCCUCUGUGUGCGGGAUACCAACCGGAAACGGUUGUUAAUACCGCAUGACGUAGUCUGUUUGCAUGGACGGACUACCAAAGAUUUAUUGCACAGAGAUCGAGCUCGCGUCCGAUUAGGUAGUUGGUGAGGUAACGGCCCACCAAGCCGACGAUCGGUAGCCGAACUGAGAGGUUGAACGGCCACAUUGGAACUGAGAUACGGUCCAG